AUUGAACGCUGUCGGCAGGCCUAACACAUGCAAGUCGAACGCGUGGCGGACGGGUGAGUAAUGUCUGGGAAACUGCCUUAUGGAGGGGGAUAACUACUGGAAACGGUAUCUAAUACCGCAUACCAUCGGAUGUGCCCCGAUGGGAUUAGCUAGUAGGUGGGGUAAAGGCUCACCUAGGCGACGAUCCCUAGCUGGUCUGAGAGGAUGACCAGCCACACUGGAACUGAGACACGGUCCAGACUCCUACGGGAGGCAGCAGUGGGGAAUAUUGCACAAUGGGCGCAAGCCUGAUGCAGCCAUGCCGCGUGUAUGAAGAAGGCCUUCGGGUUGUAAAGUACUUUCAGCGGGGAGGCGUUACCCGCAGAAGAAGCACCGGCUAACUCCGUGCCAGCAGCCGCGGUAAUUC
rnacentral:rRNA from 1 species